UCCACGAGAGCUCCAGCUCUGACUUUCCUGGCCCAUCACAAUCAUAACGACCUAACAGCCCAGUAGGACCGAUGUCCAGAGAUGGAGGAGGAGGAAGAUAGACGCAGCAGAGGUCGGGGGUAUUGAUUAGGGAGACUCCAACAGAAUUGACGCCCUGCUAACUGCCUUGAUUCAAUCAUUGAAUUUGAAGCAAUCCCAUCAGUUACUGCAGCGUGCCCUGACCCGUGACCCCAGUUUGAUGUUGGACCUGGCACAUGACAUCUGGUCCUCAGUCACAGCCCAGUAGCACAACCAACCUGGCGCCUCUGCGCAAUCUGUAAGGAGAUGCCCAUGAACAUUGAAAGGAAAUGCUGUGGUGUUCUCAGUUUUGAUAAGACUUUGGGCUGAUGUAGGACCAGGUGAGAGAAACGGUCUCUUCAGGCAUGCAGCCUACAGACAGUAUGGGGCACUUGAACAGGGCUGACGUUGUAAUACACAGUACAAUACCCAGGAUUAGCCAGGGUUACCCUGCUCCACUAGAGCAAUAUAAAAGGUUUAUACAGAGUACGGUAUAAAACACACAAACCGGCAGUGUGCAGACUUUUAUUAUUUUUCAUUAUCUGUAGGAUCAUUCAUCUGUACAUCUCACCUUUUUGGUUUGGAACCACGUUUGUCUUGUUACCAUUGUUUUUUUCAUACAUAGAAAAUAAAUGCAACCUGUCAAAUGUU